CCCUGCGCUCCUUGCGGCGGGGAGCGGCGGAGGGCGGCGGCUGCCGGCUCUGCGUCUUACGAAGCGCCUGCGGCCACCGGGUCUGCACCCAGCCGGGGGGAGGAGGAGGGGGAGGAGUAGAAGGAGGAGGAGAAGCAUCACCAUCGGCGAUGCAGCCGUCUCGCGACCCGGGCAGAGGGUCUACUUUCAAGCCUUGGGGUAAUGGGCAUCACUAAAGAAGAUGAGCUUGCCUGUGCAAAGUGCCAGAGUGCUUGAGAGGAGUGAAGGCUGCAGGAUGGGGAACUAUGCGGACUGCUGAAAAGCAACAGAAGAGUGGGUAGAGUAACAAUGCUUUGCCUGACAUCAGAAUCACAGGAUGGCUGAUUUUGGAAGGGUCAUCCAGCCCAACUCUCACUGCACAAGAAGGGCCACCUCAAUUGUUUUGCUCAGGACAGGCAUAUCUGGAUGUUUUUUUAAUAUCUCCAAGGAUGAAGACCACCCCUUUGGACUAACUAUUCCAGUGCUCAGUCACCUUCACAGUUCCCUGAUGAUGUUCAGAGAAAACCUCCCAUGUUCCAGAUUGUUCCAUGUCCAUUGCCUCUGGACCUCCCAGUUGGCACCACUGAAAAAGAGCCUGGCUCUGUCCUCUUUGCACCCUUCCUUCAGUUAAACAUUGAUGAGAUAUGCUCUGAGUCUUCUCUUCUCCAGGCUGAGCAAUCCCAACUCUCCCAGUCUCUCCUCAGAAACACAGGGCUCAGAAGGAACUUAGAGAGACAGAACAAACAAAUGACGAUUAGUGUGAGCAGAAACUGAAGUGGAACUGGGUGAGUGGGUGCAGAGGAGAAGGAUGACUGUCUCUUGCUGAAGUAGGAACUGAAGAAAUGGAAAGUUAAGGACUGUUUUUCCUAACAUUAGUACUCUUCCUGCAUCUUGCCUGUGAGAAGACAACCAUGAAUUUACUGAACAAGGAGAAAGAGGAAAUAAUUAAAACGCAUGCAUGCACACUUGCACCACUCAAGUCAUGCUCCUGCAGUCAUCUUGCU